CCUACGGGUGGCAGCAGUGAGGAAUAUUGGUCAAUGGGCUUACGCCUGAACCAGCCAAGUCGCGUGAGGGAAGACUGCCCUAUGGGUUGUAAACCUCUUUUGUCAGGGAGCAACGCCGGCUACGGGUAGCCGGACGAAGAGUACCGGAAGAAAAAGAAUCGGCUAACUCCGUGCCAGCAGCCGGGGUAAUACGGAGGAUGCGAGCGUUAUCCGGAUUAAUUGGGUUUAAAGGGUGCGUAGGCGGAAUGCCAAGUCAGCGGUAAAAUCGCGUGGCUCAACCCCGCUCCGCCGUUGAAACUGGCAUUCUUGAGUGGGCGAGAAGUAUGCGGAAUGCGUGGUGUAGCGGUGAAAUGCAUAGAUAUCACGCAGAACUCCGAUUGCGAAGGCAGCAUACCGGCGCCCAACUGACGCUGAGGCACGAAAGCGUGGGUAUCGAACAGGAUUAGAUACCCGAGUAGUC
rnacentral:rRNA from 1 species